CCUACGGGAGGCAGCAGUGGGGAAUAUUGGACAAUGGGGGGAACCCUGAUCCAGCGACGCCGCGUGAGUGAAGAAGUAUUUCGGUAUGUAAAGCUCUAUCAGCAGGGAAGAAAAUGACGGUACCUGACUAAGAAGCCCCGGCUAACUACGUGCCAGCAGCCGCGGUAAUACGUAGGGGGCAAGCGUUAUCCGGAUUUACUGGGUGUAAAGGGAGCGUAGACGGUGCAGCAAGUCUGAUGUGAAAGGUCGGGGCUCAACCCCGGGACUGCAUUGGAAACUGUUGAACUGGAGUACAGGAGAGGUAAGCGGAAUUCCUAGUGUAGCGGUGAAAUGCGUAGAGAGUAGGAGGAACACCAGUGGCGAAGGCGGCUUACUGGACUGUAACUGACGUUGAGGCUCGAAAGCGUGGGGAGCAAACAGGAUUAGAUACCCCUGUAGUC
rnacentral:rRNA from 1 species